CUUGUUCUUCAACCACACAGAAAAGGUUAUAAACAUGAAAUAUGUACCUUAAUGGUGAGUCUAAGUUUUAAA
rfam:Clostridium sp. CAG:594 genomic scaffold, scf121